rnacentral:rRNA from 1 species
UUAGGUCGACCCGCUGAAUUUAAGCAUAUCACUAAGCGGAGGAAAAGAAACUAACCAGGAUUCCCCUAGUAACGGCGAGUGAAGAGGGAGAAGCCCAGCACCGAAGCCUGCGGUAGCUUUACUGCUAGGCAAUGUGGUGUUUGGGUCGGCCCGCGGGAUUGCCACUCCAUUCGAAGUCCAGCAUUGAGUAUGGUACCCUGGAUUUGGCCCAUAGAGGGUGAAAGGCCCGUGCGAAUGGAUGUUUCAGACAUGAAAGGCAGUUCACCAGGUCGGCCUUAGAGUCGGGUUGUUUGAGAAUGCAGCCCAAAGUGGGUGGUAAACUCCAUCCAAGGCUAAAUACUGGCACGAGUCCGAUAGCGAACAAGUACCGUGAGGGAAAGUUGAAAAGUACUCUGAAGAGAGAGUAACCAGUACGUGAAACCGCAUAAAGGUAAACGGGUGGCGUCAAGCUGCAAGCCUGGAGGAUUCAGCUGGUCNUUGUGGAGUGUAUACNUCCUGUGUAUCGCAGUCGGUGGUAGUGAGUAGUCUGCUGGUAAACGGCGGGCCUGGUCGCAAGACCAGGAUGUGCGUUCCACGUGUUCGGUGGUGUACGCUGCUCAACUAUUGGACUGGAUGGCCAGUGCACUUCCUCCAUUAAGGUGAACACCACGACCGGUGGUACUGCCAGUCUGGUGUAGCCAAGUUGUGUCUAUUUGGGCAUUCGUGUUCAUUAGGUGCAAUCACAGGCAGAUUCGGUGGACGGUGAGUAGACUUCGGUUUGCUCAUGUUAUCGGCCACUGGCUGUCAACGGGUCUGUCCAUUGGGGUUGCAGUCCUCGGUGGGUGGCCUGGUGGGCUACACUGGUAAGAAUAACUGUGCAGGGCACCGGAGUGAUCGGUCUCUAAUCCGGUUGGCGCACGCGCUGCAAGUGUGUGUAGAGGUGCCAUUGCGGCCUGUCGUUGGUUGGGUCUGAUUGCCGUGUCGCCUGCGAAAAGUAGGUCCGGUAGUGGCUCGGCUACGGUCGGUGCAUGUAGUGGUAUUUCUNUGUCAGUCGGUGUGGACCUAACAGUCUGUGGUGUAGUGGUAGACGAGCUACCCGACCCGUCUUGAAACACGGACCAAGGAGUUUAACAUACACGCGAGUCAUUGGGGUCUUCCGAAACCCACAGGCGCAAUGAAAGUGAAGCCUUCUCUGAAGGUGUGGUGAGAUCCUGCUGUUACUCGCAUCUGCACUUGUGUAGCUUGUCGGCACAGGGCGCAAAGAGCGGUAGGCGCAUCACCGGCCCGUCUCAUGAUGUGGUCAUUGGUCGGUUGCUGUGGUUGUAGUUUCGGCUGUGGCUGCAGUAGCUCCAGUGCGUCAUCGGGGCGGAGCAUGAGCGUGUAUGUUGAGACCCGAAAGAUGGUGAACUAUGCUUGCGUAGGUUGAAGCCAGAGGAAACUCUGGUGGAGGACCGAAGCGAUUCUGACGUGCAAAUCGAUCGUCAAACGUGAGUAUAGGGGCGAAAGACUAAUCGAACCAUCUAGUAGCUGGUUCCCUCCGAAGUUUCCCUCAGGAUAGCUGGCAUUCAUUCGUAUCAACAGUUUUAUCCGGUAAAGCGAAUGAUUAGAGGUACUGGGUUCGAAACGAGCUCAACCUAUUCUCAAACUUUAAAUGGGUGAGAUGCCUCACUCACCUAACAGGAGUGGGGCGUUGAAUGUGCGAGUGCCAAGUGGGCCAUUUUUGGUAAGCAGAACUGGCGCUGUGGGAUGAACCAAACGCUCGGUUAAGGUGCCUAACGCUGACGCUCAUGAGACACCACAAAAGGUGUUAGUUAAUAUAGACAGCAGGACGGUGGCCAUGGAAGUCGGCAUCCGCUAAGGAGUGUGUAACAACUCACCUGCCGAAUUGACUAGCCCUGAAAAUGGAUGGCGCUGGAGCGUCGGACCUAUACCGGGCCGUCACCGCAAGCUGAGCCGCUGGCACUGUGUAUGCGAGCAGCACAUGGCUGGGUGUAAACACUUGGUCGCUGUUUGGCGUCAUGGCUCAGGCAUGGAGUGCGGUGACGAGUAGGAGGGUCGCCGUGGUGAGCGGAGAAGCCUCGGACGUGAGUCUGGGUGGAGCCGCCACGGGUGCAGAUCUUGGUGGUAGUAGCAAAUAUCCAAUGAGA